rnacentral:rRNA from 1 species
AUGACGCCGGUGCCAAGAAAUCCGUUCUCGUCGGGCCUCCGACACGGCGACGCCGAUGCCGCGCAAGCGCAAUCGAAGCCAAUCAUCAUCCCGACGACGGAUCCUGAACGCAUCGACAAAUCGCUAUUGCCGCUAAAGAAGAGGGCGACGAGCGACAGUAGCGACCGCGAGGAUUCUUCUUUCCUAGUCCCACUUCUACCCAAGAAGAAACGGGUAGAUGCCGGGAGCGAGAUUCCAGUUCAGACCCACCAGAACCUACUGUGCCAGACGGUAACAGUAGUACGCACUAGUGCGUUCAGUCCCAACGCGACCACGCCCCGACAGCACAAGCUCACGAGCGGCGGCGACGAACAACUCUUACACGUGACGCGGCCGAGGCGACCGGCUGCGUGCGACGGCGCGUACGUGGGAACGGAGGAAGAUGAGACGGCACCAGCCAAGAAGAAGAAGAAGAAGAAGGAGGACAGGAGCAGGGAUCGAAAGAAGAAAUCGUUGCCGGCGCGGGUCGCCGCCCCGCCGCCGCUGCGCCUCAGCACGGGGCUGACGCAGCACCUCGAGACGCUCGGCGCCACGGCCCCGCAGUUCGUCUGCGUCAAGACCCUACAGAAGAGCGACGUGGACCUCAACCAGAACCGGCUCCUCUUCUCGUGCAAGCGCGCCUCCAUCCAGCGCCACCCCAUCACCGGCCUCCUCUCCCACAAGGAGACCUACCUUGUCCAUGAGUGGAAGGACGGCCGCCGCGUCACCGCCUUCGACGACCACGGCAACGAGUUCGGCUUUAAGCUCCGGUACCUCCGCUCCAACGGCGCCUACCGCUUCAUCGGCGACUGGGGCGACUUCGUGACGGAGCACGGGAUGCAGAUCCAUGUUGACGUCGAGCUGUGGGCGUUCCGGUCGCCGAGCUUGCCCGUGCAGCCCAAGUUGCCCGACCAAGACAAGCAGCGGAGACUCGACGGACUGCAGGGUCACCCUGACGGCGCCCUCGGCCUUCUCCUUCUCUUCCAAGUACAGCACCACGACGCAAGGAACGUUCACCACGCCGAGGAAGGAAAGGAGCGUGCGCCGGCGCCGCGGCCGGUCCAUGAGACCAAGAGGGAGGCAUCGGCGCGACAAGACAACCUCGCGGAUGCGCAUAUGAGUCAGAAUAUCACGUCGGAAGACAUGGUUACGGCGGUUGGGAAGGAGAUGGCGGAUGCCUUGAUGGGGCUCUUGAUGCUCCGCUCCAUUUGCCUCCGUUCCAAAACAGAUCCUUACUUGUUAGGACAAGAUUUUGACCCUAAGUUUACUCUAUCUACUAGCUAA